rnacentral:rRNA from 1 species
AUUGAACGCUGGCGGCAUGCCUAACACAUGCAAGUCGAACGGUAACGCAAGAAGCUUGCUUCUUGGCGACGAGUGGCGGACGGGUGAGUAAUGCUUAGGAAUCUGCCCAGUAGUGGGGGACAACUCGGGGAAACUCGAGCUAAUACCGCAUACGCCCUACGGGGAAAGCGGGGGAGUCUUCGGACCUCGCGCUAUUGGAUGAGCCUAAGUCGGAUUAGCUUGUUGGUGAGGUAAAAGCUCACCAAGGCGACGAUCCGUAGCUGGUCUGAGAGGACGAUCAGCCACACUGGGACUGAGACACGGCCCAGACUCCUACGGGAGGCAGCAGUGGGGAAUAUUGGACAAUGGGGGCAACCCUGAUCCAGCAAUGCCGCGUGUGUGAAGAAGGCCUGCGGGUUGUAAAGCACUUUCAGUAGAGAAGAAAAGCUUACGGUUAAUAACCGUGAGUCUUGACGUAACCUACAGAAGAAGCACCGGCUAACUCCGUG